ensembl:misc_RNA Metazoa_SRP Metazoan signal recognition particle RNA
GUCAGGUGUGGUGGUGCAUUCCUGUAGUCCCAGCUACUUGGGAGACUGAAGCAGGAGGAUUGCUUGAGCCUGGGAGGUCAGGGCUGCAGUGAACCGUGACUGCACCACUGCACUCCAGCCUGGACAAUAAAGUGAGACCCUGUCUCAA